rnacentral:rRNA from 1 species
GACGAACGCUGGCGGCGUGCCUAAUACAUGCAAGUUGAGCGCUGAAGGUUGGUACUUGUACCAACUGGAUGAGCAGCGAACGGGUGAGUAACGCGUGGGGAAUCUGCCUUUGAGCGGGGGACAACAUUUGGAAACGAAUGCUAAUACCGCAUAAAGACUUUAAACACAAGUUUUAAGUUUGAAAGAUGCAAUUGCAUCACUCAAAGAUGAUCCCGCGUUGUAUUAGCUAGUUGGUGAGGUAAAGGCUCACCAAGGCGAUGAUACAUAGCCGACCUGAGAGGGUGAUCGGCCACAUUGGGACUGAGACACGGCCCAAACUCCUACGGGAGGCAGCAGUAGGGAAUCUUCGGCAAUGGACGAAGGUCUGACCGAGCAACGCCGCGUGAGUGAAGAAGGUUUUCGGAUCGUAAAACUCUGUUGGUAGAGAAGAACGUUGGUGAGAGUGGAAAGCUCAUCAAGUGACGGUAACUACCCAGAAAGGGACGGCUAACUACGUG